UGGGGAAUCUUCCGCAAUGGACGAAAGUCUGACGGAGCAACGCCGCGUGAGUGAUGACGGCCUUCGGGUUGUAAAGCUCUGUUAAUCGGGACGAAAGGCCUUCUUGCGAAUAGUUAGAAGGAUUGACGGUACCGGAAUAGAAAGCCACGGCUAACUACGUGCCAGCAGCCGCGGUAAUACGUAGGUGGCAAGCGUUGUCCGGAAUUAUUGGGCGUAAAGCGCGCGCAGGCGGAUUGGUCAGUCUGUCUUAAAAGUUCGGGGCUUAACCCCGUGAUGGGAUGGAAACUGCCAAUCUAGAGUAUCGGAGAGGAAAGUGGAAUUCCUAGUGUAGCGGUGAAAUGCGUAGAUAUUAGGAAGAACACCAGUGGCGAAGGCGACUUUCUGGACGAAAACUGACGCUGAGGCGCGAAAGCCAGGGGAGCGAACGGGAUUAGAUACCCCGGUAGUCCUGGCCGUAAACGAUGGNNNNNCNUNNGNNNNCUCCUUCUGUGCCGGAGUUAACGCAAUAAGUACCCCGCCUGGGGAGUACGACCGCAAGGUUG
rnacentral:rRNA from 1 species